UUGCUGGUAGACUGCCUAGGUUUCACAAGCAUAUAGCAAUGAGGUCAACACAAUGACUCUGUAGACCUUCAUUUUGGUAGGCAAUCUUAAUACUUCAUCUCUCCUACACCCUUCGGAGCCUCCCAAACACUGAGCUAGCUCUCACAAUGCAUGCAUCAGCCUCAUCAUCUAUGUGUGCAUCCCUUGAAAGUAUACUGCCAAGAGUUUUUGCCUACAUGCCUGACUGAAGCAGUCAUUGAAGACUGGGAAACCAGAAAAAAACCAGGCUUUAUAGAAUUAUGUGCAAAAUAAGAAUAAAUAGAAACUGAGUGAGGUGAGUGUGUCUGUUCAUCUCCUUCCUUCUCCUAACUCCAACCCUUCCACUGAGCAUGAAUGAGCCUUACUUAGUUCAUGGAUUUUAGAACAUAGAGCUGGGAAGCUUAGGGGCCUUUUGCCUCCUAUUCUGGUGUUUGAAUAAAGAGGCCUCCACAUAAGUGAGGCUGUCCUUCAAAUCCUGUUGAUAAUUUAACACUAGCUGCCAGUGUGUUUGGGGAGUUAGUUACACCUCACCAAAGAAGGGGCUUCCAAUCUUUUGCCAGGCUACUGGAAAUACUACUGUUUGCUAAUCCAGAUAGUUGACCUGAUCACACCCUUGGAGUCACAGACAGACGCGGUAGGGCCACAUCUGGUUCAGAAUCAAACACAUUUAUUUCACUUUUAUUGAGUACAAGAACAGAGAGCACACACGCAUACAGCACGGAGCACUGGCAGGGGAGGGGGCACAAGGGAGCAGGGGUUAGCGAGGGACAAGAAGGAGGCUGUCGCAGUCGAUUGGUCAAAGGUGCUUCUGAAAAAAUAAUUUUUUUAUAGUGUCGUUGUUCAUGCAAUUGCAGGCCAGUCUUGGAAUGUGCUUGCAGGAUUCGAUAUUUUUAACAGGCACUGACACU